GCCGCGAUGGUGGAAUUGGUAGACACGCUGGUCUUAGGAACCAGUGCCUUCGGGCGUGUGGGUUCGAGCCCCUCUCGCGGCACAA
rnacentral:tRNA from 1 species